rnacentral:lncRNA from 1 species
CUCCUCCGUUACACUUCCAUCCAAAUAUUUAACUUCACCGAUAUUGAAAGGACUUCUAUAGAGGAACUGGUAUUUAGCCACAUUCCGAGCCCCGUAUGUGAUACAAAGUUGGACUCCGUUUGUCCAUUCUUGAACACUCAUCACGACCUCCACAUCAUCAGAAGUUACUAUGUUUGAUGGUUGAGAAGUUGAUUGAAUCCCAUGCAACAUUCCGUCAGGCAGUUGAUAUGUCAAAGCAACGGGGCAUUCAGGUCCAAUAACCAGCUCUUCGCAUAUGAGAGAUGUAAAGGAGUCGAUAUUUUCGUUGGUGCGUGCAACUAUAUACUGCUCCACUACGCCAGAAUCUCCCUCGAAUUGCCAACAACCGGCCGCACUUUUAUUCCACUUUCCAAU